GUUCACUUAGUAUUUAUUAGAUGACAUAUUCUGUAAAUUACUGUUUAAUAAAUACCAUAACAAGUUGCAAGUAGUUUAUUGGAAUUUUAAGGUUAAAAUGCCAUAAAGUUUUACAUUUCAUAUUCAGACUUGAUAUUUGAGUGGCUUCAGAACAGAGUCAAAUUUACAAAAGGUCUUUUGGAAUGGGACUCCAUUUCUACUUGAUUGGUUUUUGGAAAUGGGGCCAUGAUUAAGACGGGCAGCCAGGGGCAUUUGUAUUGUGCCACUAGAGGUGAAAUUCCUGGGCCGGUACAAGACAGCCUAGAGUGAAAGCAUUUGCCAAGAAUGUUUUCAUUAAUCAAGAACAAAAUCAGAUGUUUGAAGACAAUCAGAUACUGUCAUAGUUCUGGCCAUAAACAAUGCCAACCAGCAAUAAAUUUUGGGGGGGAGUCUGUGGCACAAUUGGUUAGCAUGUUUGGC
rnacentral:ncRNA from 1 species